rnacentral:rRNA from 1 species
UACGUAGGGUGCGAGCGUUAAUCGGAAUUACUGGGCGUAAAGCGUGCGCAGGCUGUUCUGUAAGUCAGAUGUGAAAUCCCCGAGCUCAACUUGGGAACUGCGUUUGAAACUACAGGACUAGAAUAUGUCAGAGGGGGGUAGAAUUCCACGUGUAGCAGUGAAAUGCGUAGAGAUGUGGAGGAAUACCGAUGGCGAAGGCAGCCCCCUGGGAUAAUAUUGACGCUCAUGCACGAAAGCGUGGGGAGCAAACAGG